ACGAGGCAGAGCGCGAGAAGAGGAGUCGCCGGCGUGGCUGGAACUGGUUCUGCUGGGCUCUGCGGGGUUUCAAGUUCCGCACGUGGCGUUGGGGCGAGAGAGAGAGAGAGAGAGAGAGACGGAAAUGGCGAGGUGCGGGCCGCUCUGAGCUCAUGGCACCGCACUCGGCACCUGGCGGUUCCGCGCUUUCUCCCUUCCAAGCGAACACUCCACCCCCGUCCCCGUGACCUCGCCAGACGACCCUCUGCAUCGCGUGCGUAACCGCGGGAAAGGUCGCCGCUCUCAACCUGACCCCUCCGCCUCUGCCUGACUGGUCUCUGGAUCCAAAUGUCACAUUCCCUGGAAGCUGCCCCGGGCAGGGCGCAUUGGCGCGUGACCGCCGGGCAGGGGGAGCACAGCGCGGCGCGACGCCGCACGCCUCCGAAUCGGCCGAACUCGAGUGGCCAGGCCCAUUAUGCGAAGGUCCCCGCGAUGGUCUGACGCCUCAGCAUGGACGGAGCCAGCCGGUGGGCCGGUGCCCUCUAACCAGACCCACGACGAGGAGCCGCAGGUACCCCAGGGACUGAUCCUCGGGCCCGCCGUCCUCGCACCCUGAACUGCGCCGUCUCCGAGAGGACUUCUCGGUUGUGGGAUUACUGGGAUUUUUUUUUUUUUCUCGUCUCGUUACUGUCGUUUGGGGGAAUUUCUCCGUUUUUUUUUUUCCGGUUUUUUCAUCUUUUUUUUUU
ensembl:lncRNA